UACGUAGGUGGCAAGCGUUAUCCGGACUUAUUGGGCGUAAAGAGAACGCAGGCGGUCUUUUAAGUCUGAUGUGAAAGCCUUCGGCUUAACCGGAGUAGUGCAUUGGAAACUGGGAGACUUGAGUGCAGAAGAGGAGAGUGGAACUCCAUGUGUAGCGGUGAAAUGCGUAGAUAUAUGGAAGAACACCAGUGGCGAGAGCGGCUCUCUGGUCUGUAACUGACGCUGAGGUUCGAAAGCGUGGGUAGCAAACAGG
rnacentral:rRNA from 1 species